rnacentral:pre_miRNA from 1 species
CCUUAUCACUUUUCCAGCCAGCUUUCUUGUCAUAACCGUUGGACGGAGAACUGAUAAGGGU